AGGGUCACAGAAGAUGAUCAAAUCAUGCAUACUCUUGCUGGUCUUGGCUCUGAGUAUGACUCAGUUAUGGUUACAAUCACCUCUAAACCAGAAGCAUGGACUCUUGGAGAUGUGAGUUCACUGUUGCUGAGCUUUGAAA